rnacentral:rRNA from 1 species
GGUGAACGCUGGCGGCGUGCCUAACACAUGCAAGUCGAACGAAGCGACUGGAGGAAGUUUUCGGAUGGAAUCCGGUUGACUGAGUGGCGGACGGGUGAGUAACGCGUGGAUAACCUGCCUCACACUGGGGGAUAACAGUUAGAAAUGGCUGCUAAUACCGCAUAAGCGCACAGUACCGCAUGGUACGGUGUGAAAAACCCAGGUGGUGUGAGAUGGAUCCGCGUCUGAUUAGCCAGUUGGCGGGGUAACGGCCCACCAAAGCGACGAUCAGUAGCCGACCUGAGAGGGUGACCGGCCACAUUGGGACUGAGACACGGCCCAA